rnacentral:tRNA from 1 species
GGGGAUGUAACUCAGUGGUAGAGUAUGGGUCUAUUAUGCACAAGGUUCUGGGUUUCAUCUCCA